GAUGAACGCUGGCGGCGUGCUUAACACAUGCAAGUCGAACGAAGCACCUUGGAAUGCGUCUUCGGACAAGUGAAUUGGUGACUUAGUGGCGGACGGGUGAGUAACGCGUGGGUAACCUGCCUCACACAGGGGGAUAACAGUUAGAAAUGACUGCUAAAACCGCAUAACAUGGCGAGACCGCAUGACCUUGCCAUCAAAACUUUAUAGGUGUGAGAUGGGCCCGCGUCUGAUUAGCUAGUUGGUGAGGUAAUGGCUCACCAAGGCGACGAUCAGUAGCCGGCUUGAGAGAGUGAACGGCCACAUUGGGACUGAGACACGGCCCAAACUCCUACGGGAGGCAGCAGUGGAGGAUAUUGGACAAUGGGGGAAACCCUGAUCCAGCGACGCCGCGUGAGUGAAGAAGUAUUUCGGUAUGUAAAGCUCUAUCAGCAGGGAAGAAAAAUAACCAAAUUGACUGUACCUGACUAAGAAGCCCCGGCUAACUACGUGCCAGCCGCCGCCGUAAGAC
rnacentral:rRNA from 1 species